GCCGUCGUGGUGGAAUUGGUAGACACGCAACCUUGAGGUGGUUGUGACGAAUAGUCGUGAGAGUUCGAGUCUCUCCGUCGGCACCA
rnacentral:tRNA from 2 species